UUAAGUCUCUAUUCUGAGUUCUUUAUGGGCCUGCUUCUUUGACAGAAACUUCUAUGUUAUUCAUUUAGCGUGGGUAGCGACUGUCUCUUUUACUUUGAGAAAAUUAGAGUGUUCAAAGGAGGUAUUCGCCUGAAUAUUACUCUUGGAAUAAUGCUAUAAGACUUUGGUUCUAAUGUAUUGGUGAUUGGGACCAGAGUAAUGAUUGAUAGGGACGGUUGGGGUCUUACGUACUGCAAAGCGAGAGGUGAAAUUCUUGGACCUUUGUAUGACGAACAACUGCGAAAGCAUUGGACUAGGACGUUCCCGUUGAUCAAGAACGAAAGUUGGGGGAUCGAAGACGAUCAGAUACCGUCGUAGUCUCAACCAUAAACUAUGCCAGCUAGGGAUCGGAGGAAGUUACAAGUUCGACUCCUUCGGCACCUUAUGAGAAAUCAAAGCAUUUGGGUUCCGGGGGGAGUAUGGUCGCAAGGCUGAAACUUAAAGGAAUUGACGGGAGGGCACCACCAGGAGUGGAGCCUGUGGCUUAAUUUGACUCAACACGGGAAAACUUACCAGGUCCGGACAUAGUAAGGAUUGACAGAUUGAAAGCUCUUUCUUGAUUCUAUGGGUGGUGGUGCAUGGCCGUUCUUAGUUGGUGGAGUGAUUUGUCUGGUUAAUUCCGUUAACGAACGAGACCUCAGCCUGCUAAAUAGUGUAAUUUUCUUUCGAAGGUUUGCACUUCUUAGAGGGACUACUUGUGAAACAACCAAGCGGAAGCUUGAGGCAAUAACAGGUCUGUGAUGCCCUUAGAUGUUCUGGGCCGCACAUGGGCUACACUGGUGCAUUCAACAAGCAUAAUCAUCUUAACCGAAGGGUUUGGAUAAUCUUUGAAAUUGCACCGUGCUUGGGAUAGACUAUUGCAAUUUUUAGUCUUCAACGAGGAAUUCCUAGUAAACGCAAGUCAUCAGCUUGCAUUGAUUACGUCCCUGCCCUUUGUACACACCGCCCGUCGCUCCUACCGAUUGGAUGAUUCGGUAAGCUUUUGGGAUUGAUUGCGUAUUUCUCAUUGAGGGUACGUUAAAACAACUUAAUCAAACCUAAUCA
rnacentral:rRNA from 1 species